UUGUAUGAUGAAUAUGAUGAUGAUAAAGAAAACGAUGAUUUAAAUAUGAAGAUAUAAUUGGAAUAAUCAUAAAAUGAGAAUAUGCAUAUAAAAAUCUACAUAAUGAGAAUGGCUGAGGGUCAGCAUUGAUCUAUUAAAUCAAGAUCGUUAAAACACUUUAAUAUAAUUACAAAGAAAAGGCCGAUUUAAUAUUGAGACACAAGAAUAUAAGACAUAAAAUGAAAGGAUUGGAAUACCUACAUUAUGAGAACAUGGAAAGAAACUUACAUUUUAUAUACAUAUAUUAUGAGAAUGGCUGUCUGAACAGUAUUGUCCUAAUAAAUCAAAAUGUUUAACACACUGUUGUUAUUAUAAUAAAUGAUGAUUUAAAUAUAAAAAUACAAGAAUAUUAUAUAUAAAAUAGAAGAAUUGGAAUAUAUUUUGAUACUAAGAUACCUGCAUUAUAAAUAUAUUAUGAGAAUGGAUGACCGAACAGUAUUGUUCCGAUAAAUGAAGUUGAAUGGUAUGCUGAAGUGCAAGCGGUGCUCACACAAGGAUGUGAUUGGUAUGCCGAAGCACAAGCGGUACUCACUGAAUGAUAAUACACACACUUUAAUAUUGUUAUAAUAAAAGGUGAAUGGUAUGCCGAAGUGCAAGCGGUGCUCACACAGGGUUGUGAAUGGUAUGCCGAAGCACAAGCGGUGCUCACCUAAUGAUAAUUAGUAUAUAGUGGCUGGUAUGCCGAAGUGCAAGCGGUGCUCACACUGGGUUGUGAAUGGUAUGCCGAAGCACAAGCGGUACCCACUAUACUAUUUAUCUGAUAAAGAAUUCUGAGGAACAAUGAACAUACAGUGUAGCCGACCAAAAAUUCACCUAGCAACGUUGCAGCGUAGCAGACCAGCGUCAGACCAGCAUUAAGUACAUCAAUAAGAACAGCCGGAAUAUGGUUUACUAAUUACUUAUAGUCUCUUUGAGUUUUAUUUUAAUUAUGAUUGCUAAGUGCAUUUAAUAUCACCGCAUAGAUAUAAUAACUUUAUUAAUUUUGCUAAUUCAUUCAGUUUGUUAACAUAAAUUUAGAACUUGUUAGUUAGCGUUCGAAUGGCCGACAGGGAAUGGGGACAUUCCCAAUAACAGGACGGCCGACUGUUAGCGUUUAAAUUUACCAAUGCUAUUCUUUACUAAUAUCAAGCUACUUAUUUCAUCAUAGGUCCGGCCGGAUUACUAGAUGUAGCUAGGAGUUGUUCUUUAGUUCAUUUAGUUUCUAUAUUGUCUGUGAUUCGCAUUGACUGGCCGGUCACUGGAUUCAUGCGGAUUCAUUCAAUUCAAGAUGGCAGAAAAAAACAAGGAUAACUUUUAAAAGACUUCUGUUUGUUAUUAGAUUCCUUUUUGAAUAGUUUGUGUUCCUUAUAAAAGUAUUUUACUUCAAACUU